GACGAACGCUGGCGGCGUGCCUAAUACAUGCAAGUCGAACGAGAGCGACCGGUGCUUGCACUGGUCAAUCUAGUGGCGAACGGGUGAGUAACACGUGGGUAACCUGCCCAUCAGAGGGGGAUAACAUUCGGAAACGGAUGCUAAAACCGCAUAGGUCUUCGAACCGCAUGGUUUGAAGAGGAAAAGAGGCGCAAGCUUCUGCUGAUGGAUGGACCCGCGGUGCAUUAGCUAGUUGGUGAGGUAACGGCUCACCAAGGCCGUGAUGCAUAGCCGACCUGAGAGGGUGAUCGGCCACAUUGGGACUGAGACACGGCCCAAACUCCUACGGGAGGCAGCAGUAGGGAAUCUUCCGCAAUGGACGCAAGUCUGACGGAGCAACGCCGCGUGAGUGAAGAAGGUUUUCGGAUCGUAAAACUCUGUUGUUAGAGAAGAACAAGCGCUAGAGUAACUGUUAGCGCCUUGACGGUAUCUAACCAGAAAGCCACGGCUAACUACGUGCCAGCAGCCGCGGUAAUACGUAGGUGGCAAGCGUUGUCCGGAUUUAUUGGGCGUAAAGCGAGCGCAGGCGGUUCCUUAAGUCUGAUGUGAAAGCCCCCGGCUCAACCGGGGAGGGUCAUUGGAAACUGGGGAACUUGAGUGCAGAAGAGGAGAGUGGAAUUCCAUGUGUAGCGGUGAAAUGCGUAGAUAUAUGGAAGAACACCAGUGGCGAAGGCGACUCUCUGGUCUGUAACUGACGCUGAGGCUCGAAAGCGUGGGUAGCAAACAGG
rnacentral:rRNA from 1 species